rnacentral:tRNA from 1 species
GGAGGCGUGGCAGAGUGGUUUAAUGCACCGGUCUUUAAAACCGGCAGUCGCUCCGGCGACUCCGGUCUUUAAAACCGGCAGUCGCUCCGGCGACUCAUAGGUUCAAAUCCUAUCGCCUCCG